rnacentral:tRNA from 1 species
AUUUAUCAUUAGCUGAGUGGAUAAAGCAAUGGAUUUUGAAGCGAAUAGUACUAGGUUCGAGUCCCAUAGUGAAU